ensembl:lncRNA
UUACAAAAAUACCAACUUUAUUAACUAAUGAAGAGGCCGUUAAUUACAGAAGAUUUAUAAUACAAGUUAUAACCACAGUGUUCCCUUUUCAUUAGGCAUUCAGCUGGAUAUAUUUAAUGGGAGCGUUAUUUUUCCCACUUAAAUAUAAAAAAAUACUCCCUAUCAUACACUGAAUUCCACAGGCAGCUCCCUGAAGUUAGAUCCCAUGCAAGGAAAACACCAUACAAAAAUGCCCAAAGGUAUGUUUAAAAAGGAACACUGCAAAAUUUUAGAGUGAAAAGACAUGUUAGUUCCUGCCAGCAGCCCCAACAUUCAUAAAACAAUAUUAUAUCAGUGCAUGUGAGGGAGGAAGAAAAUAAUUGAUAAGGAAACAAGGCUAAACAACCAAUCCAAUAGGUUUCAUACAGGUUCCAUGGGGGUCAACUAGUUUACAACCAAUCUUCCAGAAGGAUGGCAACAAAGCCUUGCCUCCUGCUGCAGUUGCUGUGGAGUUGAGAAUCUGUGUGCUUUUCAGUGUACAAGGAUGCAUACAGUUCAGUGCAAGGCCAUAGCAAAAAGCACUGAGCAACUUUCAGCCCCCCCUUUUUUGACAAUCACAUUCACUGAUUUCAAGGGACGUUUUGCCUGAGUAGGUUUUGACCCUCAGAGAUAUAUACGGACCCUCGUCUGAAAAGCUCUAAAUCAAGUGAGUAGCUCUGUCAAGUACAUUGGCAUUACCUGCAGCAAGGGUUUGCAGAAUGCCUCAGAGAAUUUUAAUCUUAAACUAGAGAAGAAGAUUUCAGCAGUAGCAGCAAAAAUCUAGACCAGUACAUUCCCAAUGAGAGCUACAGUUUCUCUGAGGGUCAUGAGGUUUAUGAAAGAACAAGAGAUAGGGAAAAAAGCUUUUCUGAGGGAAAAUUGUUUUCAUUAAUGAAAGGAAGAAGCAUCAGCCAGUUCCAAUGCCCAAAGAAAAUCAGUAAUUAAAUAGAACUAACUUCAGUAGCACAAAAUCACCUCUUUGGUUUCAAAAAUUUUAUAUCUGGUUUUUACACUUUUCAGAGACCAAGGAUUAGUUACAGCAAUGAGAAUGAAGAUGAAAUUCAGUGGAGUUUAAGAGUGUUCUAAGAUAAGAAUUUAAGUUCUGUACCCUUUAAUUCUAAUAUGAAUAAAACCACACCUACAAAGUAAAGUCCAGCUCCUGCUGAAGUUAGUUAAGAGGGUUUCUAGCAAUUUAGAUGGGCACUAGAUCAGGUUCCCUUGUUAUUAUAGCGAGAAAAAUAUUAGAACAGUGAAAAAAUAUCUAUAGAGUGUCCUUUCUUAAGAGAAUCCUGUAGUUAUAACAGUUGCCUGGUACGGUACCAUUGGUACCAACAAGAAAUAUUCACAGGAAUAAAUGAAGUACAAAUUCAUUACCACAUAUCAUUAUUCUUCUCUUCCCUUGCUCUUCAGUCUCACGUGCCCUCCAUACUGAGAUAGGGAGAGCAAGAACACCUGAUAAGCAAGUGCAUACAAACAUGUUAAGUUCUGGAGCACCAACUCUGCACAAUUUAUUUUACUGAGGAGCUGCCCAGAACAAACAGGUAAAAAUCCUUACACGUUGUCUAACAAAAACCAGUAUUUUUAUCAUAUAUAUAUGUGUAUAUAUAUAUAUAAAAAUCACAGUCUUCUGCACAGCAGAAGCUUAUAACUAAAAUAUUUUAAGAUUUGAUUUUUUUAGAUAGACAUAACAAAAUGCCUGCAAAUAUAAUACAGUGGGCACAUAACAAUUCUUAGAAUACCAAGAGUGAACAUGGAGUUACAUAUUUUAUCCACAUUCUACUUGUGACUGGAGACAAAAUUCUCUUGGAGUUUUUUAAAAGUUUCUCUUAAAA